CUACCCCAUCACCAACCAACAGGGGAGGAAUAAUAAGAAAAAAAAAACCUGGAAACUCAACAUGCACUUUUUCUAUGUGGUGCCUGUAUGGGAAAGUUGUCUCAUGCACAACCCCCACCCCCCAACAUCCCCCUCCUCCAUCCAUCCAUCCCUUAACGCCUCCCUCCCUCCCUCCUUAUCCUUCCUCCCCAGCUCUGUCUAUCAUGUGCUUAGGAUAUGAUCAGACUUUGCUCAGAGCGGCUGCAGCAUGCACCAAAUGCAGGCUUUUCCCCACAAAGUGCAUGCCACCCCUCCUUCCCUCGUCCUUUUUUUUUUUUUUUUUUGACUGGGAUAUUUGAGGGGGAAUGUAUGACGACGCGCUCAGAGCCAGCAUGGGACGACUUCUUCUUCUUAACUCCCCUUUGUAGGAAAGAUGGAGAACUGGACCUGUGGAGGCCUCCAGAAAGCAGAAGAUGGACAACAAUGUGACGUUUGGGAUUUGCGUUCCACUGAACCUGCCUAAGGUUUGACGAAGACCUCCCGGAAGCAAAUGCCCCGAUGAUGUCGGUCUUCAGGCGAAAACGUCAAGGAUAUUCAGCAUAUCACAAAGGCGUGGCCUUGCACCUCAGGAGUGGACCCUGCCCAAACAAAAAGGAGCCUUUUUUUCAUUUUUGGGAGCUUGAGAGUCUGUGUAAUUUUUUUUGGGUUUUACCUGACUUUUUAAACGCCUCAGUGUGUGUCUUUUGACAGCGAAAAUAAAAAAAAACGUCUUAAACUAGCAGAGAUGUUUGGUGUG